UCUCCGUAGGUGAACCUGCGGAGGGAUCAUUACAGAGUCCGUGCCCUCGCGGGUAGAUCUCCCACCCUGUGUUAUUGCUACCUUUGUUGCUUUGGCGGGCCGCCCUCGGCUACCGGCCCCGGCUGGUACGCGCCCGCCAGAGGACCCCAAACCCUGAACGUCAGUGUCGUCUGAGUACUAUACAAUAGUUAAAACUUUCAACAACGGAUCUCUUGGUUCUGACAUCGAUGAAGAACGCAGC
rnacentral:misc_RNA from 1 species